UACGUAGGGGGCAAGCGUUGUCCGGAUUUAUUGGGCGUAAAGAGCGUGUAGGCGGCUUGGCAAGUCCGCUGUGAAAACUCGAGGCUCAACCUCGAGAGGUCGGUGGAAACUGCCUGGCUAGAGUCCGGAAGAGGAGAGUGGAAUUCCUGGUGUAGCGGUGAAAUGCGCAGAUAUCAGGAGAACACCCGUGGCUAAGGCGGCUCUCUGGGACGGUACUGACGCUGAGACGCGAAAGCGUGGGGAGCGAACAGG
rnacentral:rRNA from 1 species